GAACUUGCAAACAGAGGGCUUUUCCCCUGGAGGGGCCUGGUUAAGCCUAGUGCAGGAAUAAGGGGGGCGAGUCCCAGAUUUCUGGAUUAUCAAAUCUCCUGGUCCCAAGCAGAAUCCACGGGGUGCUGAGGGCCUCCAACUCUCAUGAUCUCACAUUGCCAACAAGCCUUUGAGGGGCUCAGGGGACACACCGACCUCUAUUCUCAUGGCCUCCUCUAAUCCUCCCUGAUUGUGCACCAAGCAUGAAUGGAACGCUAUCAGUGAUAUUAGCUUGGGAACAGCUCCAAAAACUUGUUGUUGAGUGAAUGAACGGAUGGAGAAAGGAAUCUGUCGUGCAUUAAACUCUCAGGCCUCCGCUGAGGUUCAUCAUUUGUUGUUGCUUAGUCACGAAGUCGUGUCCGACUCUGCGACCCCAUGGACUAUAACCUGCCGGGCUCCUCCGUCCAUGGACUUCUCCAGACAACAAUACUGGAGUGGGUUGCUGUUUUCUCUUUCCGGGGAUCUUCCCAACCCAGAGAUUGAACCUGUGUCUUCUACAUGGGCAGACAGAGUCUUUACCUCGGAGCCACCGGGAAGCUUCCUCUGGGGCUAAUGGCAUGAAAAAGCAUCCUGAAGAUGCAAAUUUCAAAGAGGGCCAAGUUCCUGCCCUUGAGCGGAACUGAAAGAACCUGACAGGCCACUCCCAACUGGCCUUCCACACCCUCCUGAGCUCCCUGGGGUCAGACUCCCCUUCCACGGGACAGCAGCUGCUAAGGAAACUGCAAAGAACCAGUGCCACCUCUCCAGAACAGUCCACCCCUCCUCCCAGCCUCCUCCUCUGGCUCAGCUCCACUGCCUGGUAGGGGAGAGGGACUGCAGCCUGGGGG
ensembl:lncRNA